UUACAAUAGUAACAUUGCAUGUAUUAUACUAAGCCUUCUCCACACAUGCAUGCCAAUGAUGACAACCAUCACCACUUGGUCAAGUCAAAAGACUGCCAGAAAAAUAUCAAGCCAUGUCGCAAUCACAUGCCAAUCAUCGAUUACGCAUACAACCCUCUCUUCCACAUGUUCUUCAUCGUCUCCUACCUUCGACCCUCUCCCUCUCUCUCAUGCUUUCUCCCCUCUCCUCCUCCUCCUGGAAGCGGGAUGGCGAGCUUGGGAGGUGGUGAGUCGCCGCCAGCGGCGGUCUGUUGCAUGUGCGGCGAUCACGGCUUGCUGCAGGAGCUGUUUCAGUGCAAGGUCUGCCUCGUUAGAUCUCAGCACAGAUACUGCAGCGACCUUUAUCCCAAGUCCGAGUCAUACCGAGCAUGCAAUUGGUGUCUAAGAGAUGGAGGAGCAAAAGGUCUUGCGGGAGAUGCCAAAAGGUCAACCUCUUCCUGCAACGUCAUGGACCGUCGAAGCAGCGGCAGUACUGGCACAGGAGUCAAGGUCCACCGUCAGGCUUCUCCGUCACAGCUGAGCAAGCCCAUCAAGAA